rnacentral:tRNA from 1 species
GCGCUUCUAGCUCAGUUGGUAGAGCAGCUGACUCUUAAUCAGCGGGCCCAGGGUUCGAGUCCCUGGAAGCGCA